UACGGAGGGUGCAAGCGUUGUUCGGAACCACUGGGCGUAAAGGGCGUGUAGGCGGUCCGCUAAGUCUGAUGUGAAAGCCCGGGGCUCACCCCCGGAAGGGCAUUGGAAACUGGCGAACUCGAGUCCCGGAGAGGAGGGUGGAAUUCCUGGUGUAGCGGUGAAAUGCGUAGAUAUCGGGAGGAACACCGGCGGCGAAGGCGGCCCUCUGGACGGUGACUGACGCUAAGACGCGAAAGCGUGGGGAGCAAACAGG
rnacentral:rRNA from 1 species